GACGAACGCUGGCGGCGUGCCUAAUACAUGCAAGUUGAGCGAUGAAGAUUGGUGCUUGCCCCAAUUUGAAGAGCAGCGAACGGGUGAGUAACGCGUGGGGAAUCUGCCUUUGAGCGGGGGACAACAUUUGGAAACGAAUGCUAAUACCGCAUAAUAACUUUAAACAUAAGUUUUAAGUUUGAAAGAUGCAAUUGCAUCACUCAAAGAUGAUCCCGCGUUGUAUUAGCUAGUUGGUGAGGUAAAGGCUCACCAAGGCGAUGAUACAUAGCCGACCUGAGAGGGGGAUCGGCCACAUUGGGACUGAGACACGGCCCAAACUCCUACGGGAGGCAGCAGUAGGGAAUCUUCGGCAAUGGACGAAAGUCUGACCGAGCAACGUCGCGUGAGUGAAGAAGGUUUUCGGAUCGUAAAACUCUGUUGGUAGAGAAGAACGUUGGUGAGAGUGGAAAGCUCAUCAAGUGACGGUAACUACCCAGAAAGGGACGGCUAACUACGUG
rnacentral:rRNA from 1 species